rnacentral:piRNA from 1 species
UCUGCCUCAGCCUCACAUCCAUGGUCUAA